rnacentral:lncRNA from 1 species
UGGGGUGGGGUGGGGCGUCCCAGAUAAUAAUAGAUAAUUUGUCGAAGACUUUACCAGCAUAAAUUCACUGAAUUUCCAUCACAGAUCAAGAAAACAGAUAAGGUCACUCCCAUUUUACAGGUGGGGAAACUGAGAAUCUAUGAGGAAAGUGUUAAAAAAAAAAAAGUGUCCAAUACACUACACAGCUAGUACAGUUGCCCACCACAAUUCUCCAGGACCUGCGCUUUAACCUGGGAGCCAAACCAUUGGCAGAGUGAGUCUCCUACCCCAGAAUGCUCAUGGGUUCCUUGGCUUUCCUUCCCCAGGGUCUGGGUUCCGUAUUCAGGUCCACGGAAGAGAUCGCGCAAGCCCCCUCCCACGGUGGGGGGUCGGACUUACAGCAGAGGAGAGAAAGAGGGUGCUGGGGAGUUCCCAAGAAAAGUCCUAAAGAGUGAUCCGACUGAAUGCGCAUUCACGCUGUCAGCUACGACUAUGCUUCUCUCCCGGCCCUACAGGGACAGGGAGCACCUGGGGCAUCCAGCGCCAGCCCUUGACUGUUACAUUUACUUGGCCUCCAGUCGGUCGUUUGUCCCAGUCCUAGCUGAGGUCUUAGAGUUCAUACAAGCUUUCCCGAAAGAAACAAGCUAAACACAGGACUUUUGGGGGGGGGACAUCGGUUCGUCUAUCAGAGGACGGAAAUCUAGACACCUGCGAAUGUGCUUUAAUUGGGGUAGAAGAUGAUUCUCCCUUGUCGUGACCAUACGUAGCUAAAAGUUCAAGUUAUUUUGAGUCCGGAGAAUACAGUUGGGGACACAGCCGGGAAUUAUCUCAUAGGUCCAAAGCUGUCAGAGAGCAUCCCGAAACUCACCCUUCGGCCCUUGUCCAUAGUCUAGGACCUUGAAAUCCCGCUUCCUCAAUAGAAGGCACUUCGGAGGUGGGAGAACAGAGCUUUCCAGCAGUUUGGAAAUUAGCAUCCCCUACAUAGCGCAAACUCUAGUAAAAGAAACUUGGGCCUGCGGAGUUUUGGAGAGGAACAGAGGAAUCGACCGGUUUAUUUACUUAGGAGAAGCGGGGGGUGGAGGAGGGAGGGCAAGUUUAGCAGGAGCGCUAGAGGUGACCGGGUGAAAAAAAAAAAUUGCGCUCGUAUUUCCUUUGAGGCACAACUCCCUAGAUAUUUCCCAACACUGAGCGCUGUCCGCCUUUGCUAUCUUUGUUUGAGAGAUGCUUAUGAUUCGAGUGUGCAAAUACGUUCCCAACGAAGGGUGGCUGCAUAUUUUGUGGGUCUGUACAGUCCGUGUGUGUGUGCUGGGAAGUGACAGCGUGCACUUAGCUGUUUGCGUGCGCUUGUGCUGGAGGAGGUAGAGGUACACACAAGCAAGAGCACACAUGUAUGUGGAUAGUGUGUGCGUGUGUCACGAGUCUAACUUGUGUAAGUGCAGUGCGUAUGGACAGAAGUACUGUCUGUUGUGCAACAGCAUCAUACACAUGUGUAGAACCUGAGUUCGUACGUGAUUCGUGUGCACAUUUGUGCGUGUGAAACCUAGCAAAGAACUCCUAAAAACUUAAGCCCGGCCAGAAGAAAGUUUAGCAGGCUGAAUGCUGCUGACUGAGGGGCCAAGGGCAGGCUGGUCCCUUGGUUUUGCAGGUGCGGGGAACCUCCUGUGGAGCGCAGAACGCUCUCAGAGUCUGCAGGUUAGCGCCCAGCUCAGCUCUUGGCCGGCAAGGCCGGUCCCCCUGUCGGCCAGCAAUUAGGAGGACUGAGAUCGCAAUAGUCCCUGCUGGACAGUUCCGAGCUCUUGAUCAUUUCUUGAGGACAGUUUCUGGUUAUUGAUGCGGUGUGUCCUAAAAGAAACCGCUUUAGGAUUAUUCGCUUGUGUAUUUAUUCUGUUUAACACUGUUAUUAUUUGGUGCCCGCGGUGAAGACGGUGCCAAACCUACCAAGAAGUCUCGGCCCCACCUCGGUGCGCAACUCUGAGCGCGUGAGAGAUCUGCGAAUGCCAGAAUCUUCUCUUAUGAUGGAGCCAUAGCGCCACCUAGUGUCUCCUAGCGUCCCCCGCGUUACCGCCACGAAGGUUGGGACCUUCCUACCGCUGAUUUCCCAUUCACUUUCACUAUUUCUCUUCGAGUAAGCCUGCAAACACACCUUGUGGCUGCCCCUUUGAACACCGCCAAAAUGCCCCUUUCUCCACCUGGCAAAGGGGAGAUGGAACUCAAAGGGCAUCUUUCAAACCCUUCUAAGGCUCAUGUCUGUCCCUAGUCCCUAAUACUCAUAUCACAUCGGACAAUAUUAUUUAAUAAAGAAAAUAUUGUUUUCUCUACAAGUUUUUAUUGUGACUUAUCCUACAUCAAUAAAAUCUAGUAUUUAUUUAGUGCAUAUUAUGGAGCAUCUUAUACAAUGUACUGCAUCAAACACCCUACUUCAAUAUUAUUUCCCAUUUUACAGAUGAAGAAACUGAAGCUAGAGAAAACAAGUGCCCAUCCAAGGUCCCAUUGCAGAACUUACCCCAAGCCUACCUGCCUGAUACCAGAACCCACUUUUCUCAACCUCUGUGUCUUAUAGACUUUUCAGCUCUUUAGUCACUGACUUUAUGACAGAACAAGGCAUAGAGUGGCCACUCACUCAUAUAUUUAUGAACAAAUGCACUAUUGCCUUUUUCAAUUUGAUCUUCUAGAGUUGGGCUGGGAAAAGCAUUGCAAUUAUCAGACACUUUGACUGAAAUGUCACCACAGUUUUUAAUUCCCCCAAAUAUUCCAAUCUUAAUUAGUUACUUCGCUUUGUCCACAAUUUCUUCAUCUGGAAAAAUAGGUUUACUGUGAGGUUAAGUGAGGGGGGAAAAAAAUUGAAGUGC